UACGAGGGGGGCAACUGUUGUUCGGAAUCACUGGGCGUAAAGGGAGCGUAGGCGGGUGUUUAAGUUAGGUGUUUAAUCCUGGGGCCCAACCCCAGUCGUGCACCUAAAACUGGACAUCUUGAAUAGUGGAGAGGUCAGUGGAAUUGGGGGUGUAGCGGUGGAAUGCGUAGAGAUCCCCAAGAACACCAGUUGCGAAGGCGGCUGACUGGACACAUAUUGACGCUGAGGCUCGAAAGCAUGGGGAGCAAACAGG
rnacentral:rRNA from 1 species